rnacentral:rRNA from 1 species
AGCAGCCGCGGUAAUUCCAGCUCCAAUAGCGUAUAUUAAAGUUGUUGCAGUUAAAAAGCUCGUAGUUGAAUUUCGGAAUCAGUACGUUGGUCGUGCCUUCGGUAUGCACUGGCGUCACUGGUUUCUCCUUUCUGAAGAACCGUGAUGUCAUUAAUUUGGUGUUGCGGGGAAUCAGGACUGUUACUUUGAAAAAAUUAGAGUGUUUAAAGCAGGCUCACGCUUGAAUACAUUAGCAUGGAAUAAUGAGAUAGGACGUUUGAUUCUAUUUUAUUGGUUUCUAGGAUCGACGUAAUGAUUAAUAGGGAUAGUUGGGGGCAUUAGUAUUCAAUUGUCAGAGGUGAAAUUCUUGGAUUUACUGAAGACUAACUACUGCGAAAGCAUUUGCCAAGGAUGUUUUCAUUAAUCAAGAACGAAAGUUAGGGGAUCGAAGACGAUCAGAUACCGUCGUAGUCUUAACCAUAAACUAUGCCGACUAGGGAUCGGAUGAUGUUAAUUUUAUAAUGACUC